UCUUCCCUCUUUCUUCGUGCCUAAUACAUGCAAGUCGAGCGAACGGACGAGAAGCUUGCUUCUCUGAUGUUAGCGGCGGACGGGUGAGUAACACGUGGAUAACCUACCUAUAAGACUGGGAUAACUUCGGGAAACCGGAGCUAAUACCGGAUGAUAUUUUGAACCGCAUGGUUCAAAAGUGAAAGACGGUCUUGCUGUCACUUAUAGAUGGAUCCGCGCUGUAUUAGCUAGUUGGUAAGGUAACGGCUUACCAAGGCAACGAUGCAUAGCCGACCUGAGAGGGUGAUCGGCCACACUGGAACUGAGACACGGUCCAGACUCCUACGGGAGGCAGCAGUAGGGAAUCUUCCGCAAUGGGCGAAAGCCUGACGGAGCAACGCCGCGUGAGUGAUGAAGGUCUUCGGAUCGUAAAACUCUGUUAUUAGGGAAGAACAUAUGUGUAAGUAACUGUGCACAUCUUGACGGUACCUAAUCAGAAAGCCACGGCUAACUACGUG
rnacentral:rRNA from 1 species